rnacentral:piRNA from 1 species
UGAAAACAGGAGAAAGUGCCACUUGCCAC